CGGGGAAUAAGGGUUCGACUCCGGAGAGCGAGCCUGAGAGACGGCUAGCACAUCCAAGGAAGGCAGCAGGCGCGCAAAUUACCCAAUCCCGACACGGGGAGGUAGUGACAAUAAAUACUGAUACAGGGCUCUUUUGGGUCUUGUAAUUGGAAUGAGUACAAUUUAAACCUCUUAACGAGGAACAAUUGGAGGGCAAGUCUGGUGCCAGCAGCCGCGGUAAUUCCAGCUCCAAUAGCGUAUAUUAAAGUUGUUGCAGUUAAAAAGCUCGUAGUUGAACCUUGGGCCUGGCUGGCGGGUCCGCCUCACCGCGUGUACUCGACCGGCCGGGCCUUUCCUUCUGGAGAACCUCAUGCCCUUCACUGGGUGUGCUGGGGAACCAGGACUUUUACUGUGAAAAAAUUAGAGUGUUCAAAGCAGGCCUUUGCUCGAAUACGUUAGCAUGGAAUAAUAGAAUAGGACGUGCGAUCCUAUUUUGUUGGUUUCUAGGACCGCCGUAAUGAUUAAUAGGGACAGUCGGGGGCAUCAGUAUUCAAUUGUCAGAGGUGAAAUUCUUGGAUUUAUUGAAGACUAACUACUGCGAAAGCAUUUGCCAAGGAUGUUUUCAUUAAUCAGUGAACGAAAGUUAGGGGAUCGAAGACGAUCAGAUACCGUCGUAGUCUUAACCGUAAACUAUGCCGACUAGGGAUCGGGCGGUGUUUCUAUCUUGACCCGCUCGGCACCUUACGAGAAAUCA
rnacentral:rRNA from 1 species